rnacentral:lncRNA from 1 species
CUUACAGCUGUAAGAACUACACAUAUUCUCUACACAUAUCUCUAACUACACAUAUUCUUUUAGGAUUAAUUUAAUUAUUUGUGCAUCAUUAGUCACUACAGUUUCUUUAUCUGUUGACAGCCACCAUUCAACGCAUCAAGUAACUGUAGUCCAUCAUCAUAAUCACUAUUAUGAUUCCAUCACCAGGAUGUAUUCAUCAGAACUGCUUUCAAACACAGUGAAAGAGGAAGGACAACUGGCUCCAAGAUUCUAAAGAGAAGAAACUUUCUUGCUGAAACAGUACCUCUUUUGCAAGAAGCUUCCCUUUCAUUUUAUAAGACGCCAUUCUAAAAUAGGAGCAGAACUCAGAAAACUGACUGCUGCUCUCCUGCUCUUACACACGAGCAAAUUGCUGUCUUUUACAUCUGGUACAUUGUACUACAUCUUCAAGUGAUGUGAUUCAUGUCACUUUCCAAAGGACGGUAAGAUGAUCUUUGUUUCUAGUGGCACCAUCAAAGCAAGAACAGGCUUUUAUUAAUUUAAUAAAGGCUGAGCAGAUGCUACA